rnacentral:rRNA from 1 species
AGUGGGGAAUAUUGCACAAUGGGGGAAACCCUGAUGCAGCCAUGCCGCGUGUGUGAAGAAGGCCUUCGGGUUGUAAAGCACUUUCAGCGAGGAGGAAAGGGUGUAAGUUAAUACCUUACAUCUGUGACGUUACUCGCAGAAGAAGCACCGGCUAACUCCGUGCCAGCAGCCGCGGUAAUACGGAGGGUGCGAGCGUUAAUCGGAAUUACUGGGCGUAAAGCGUGCGCAGGCGGUUUGUUAAGCGAGAUGUGAAAGCCCCGGGCUCAACCUGGGAACCGCAUUUCGAACUGGCAAACUAGAGUCUUGUAGAGGGGGGUAGAAUUCCAGGUGUAGCGGUGAAAUGCGUAGAGAUCUGGAGGAAUACCGGUGGCGAAGGCGGCCCCCUGGACAAAGACUGACGCUCAGGCACGAAAGCGUGGGGAGCAAACAGGAUUAGAUACCCUGGUAGUCCACGCCGUAAACGAUGUCUACUCGGAGUUUGGUGUCUUGAACACUGGGCUCUCAAGCUAACGCAUUAAGUAGACCGCCUGGGGAGAACGGCCGCAAGGUUA